ACAGAGGUGGCAAGCGUUGUUCGGAAUUACUGGGCGUAAAGGGCGCGUAGGCGGCCCACUAAGUCAGACGUGAAAUCCCCCGGCUUAACCUGGGAACUGCGUCUGAUACUGGAGGGCUUGAGUAUGGGAGAGGGAUGUAGAAUUCCAGGUGUAGCGGUGAAAUGCGUAGAUAUCAGGAGGAACACCUGUGGUGUAGACGGCUUACUGGACCAUGACUGACGCUGAGGCACGAAAGCGUGGGGAGCAAACAGGA
rnacentral:rRNA from 1 species